GUUAUAGAGUUUUUUCUCAGGCUCAGGACGAACGCUGGCGGCGUGCCUAAUACAUGCAAGUCGAACGCUUCUUUCCUCCCGAGUGCUUGCACUCAAUUGGAAAGAGGAGUGGCGGACGGGUGAGUAACACGUGGGUAACCUACCCAUCAGAGGGGGAUAACACUUGGAAACAGGUGCUAAUACCGCAUAACAGUUUAUGCCGCAUGGCAUAAGAGUGAAAGGCGCUUUCGGGUGUCGCUGAUGGAUGGACCCGCGGUGCAUUAGCUAGUUGGUGAGGUAACGGCUCACCAAGGCCACGAUGCAUAGCCGACCUGAGAGGGUGAUCGGCCACACUGGGACUGAGACACGGCCCAGACUCCUACGGGAGGCAGCAGUAGGGAAUCUUCGGCAAUGGACGAAAGUCUGACCGAGCAACGCCGCGUGAGUGAAGAAGGUUUUCGGAUCGUAAAACUCUGUUGUUAGAGAAGAACAAGGACGUUAGUAACUGAACGUCCCCUGACGGUAUCUAACCAGAAAGCCACGGCUAACUACGUGCCAGCAGCCGCGGUAAUACGUAGGUGGCAAGCGUUGUCCGGAUUUAUUGGGCGUAAAGCGAGCGCAGGCGGUUUCUUAAGUCUGAUGUGAAAGCCCCCGGCUCAACCGGGGAGGGUCAUUGGAAACUGGGAGACUGAUCAAAGAUG
rnacentral:rRNA from 1 species